rnacentral:misc_RNA from 1 species
GAUGAAGAACGUAGCGAAAUGCGAUAAGUAGUGUGAAUUGCAGAAUUCAGUGAAUCAUCGAAUCUUUGAACGCACAUUGCGCCCCUUGGUAUUCCAUGGGGCAUGCCUGUUCGAGCGUCAUUUGUACCUUCAAGCUUUGCUUGGUGUUGGGUGUUUGUCCUGAGGGACUCGCCUUAAAGUGAUUGGCAGCCAGUGUUUGGUUUUGAAGCGCAGCACAAGUCGCGAUUCAAAGCUAUACGCCCGCUUCCACAAGCCUUUUUCACUUUUGACCUCGGAUCAGGUAGGGAUACCCGCUGAACUUAAGCAUAUCAAUAAGCGGAGGA